GGAGAGGUCGCAUAGUCCGGUCUAGUGCGCACGAUUGGAAAUCGUGUACCUCGCAAGGGGUCGCGGGUUCGAAUCCCGCCCUCUCCGCCA
rnacentral:tRNA from 1 species